rnacentral:rRNA from 1 species
UACGAAGGGGGCUAGCGUUGUUCGGAAUUACUGGGCGUAAAGCGUAUGUAGGCGGAUCGUUAAGUCGGGGGUGAAAUCCCGAGGCUCAACCUCGGAACUGCCUUCGAUACUGGAGAGCUUGAGUCCGGGAGAGGUGAGUGGAACUGCGAGUGUAGAGGUGAAAUUCGUAGAUAUUCGCAAGAACACCAGUGGCGAAGGCGGCUCACUGGCCCGGUACUGACGCUGAUGUGCGAAAGCGUGGGGAGCGAACAGG